UGGAACAGUAGUGGAGGCCGGGUGACGUGGGACCUGCUGGGGUCCAUAUGUGUGGAGAGGCGGCCGGUCAUCACGCAGGACCUCCAUGAGAUUGAGCUGCG